GAUUGAACGCUGGCGGCAUGCCUUACACAUGCAAGUCGAACGGUAACAGGUUAAGCUGACGAGUGGCGAACGGGUGAGUAAUAUAUCGGAACGUGCCCAAUCGUGGGGGAUAACGCAGCGAAAGUUGUGCUAAUACCGCAUACGAUCUACGGAUGAAANCGGGGGAUCGCAAGGACCUCGCGCGAGUGGAGCGGCCGAUAUCAGAUUAGGUAGUUGGUGGGGUAAAGGCUCACCAAGCCAACGAUCUGUAGCUGGUCUGAGAGGACGACCAGCCACACUGGAACUGAGACACGGUCCAGACUCCUACGGGAGGCAGCAGUGGGGAAUUUUGGACAAUGGACGCAAGUCUGAUCCAGCCAUUCCGCGUGCAGGAUGAAGGCCCUCGGGUUGUAAACUGCUUUUGUACGGAACGAAAAGGUUUCCAUUAAUACUGGGAGCUCAUGACGGUACCGUAAGAAUAAGCACCGGCUAACUACGUG
rnacentral:rRNA from 1 species